rnacentral:rRNA from 1 species
UGGGGAAUUUUGGACAAUGGGCGCAAGCCUGAUCCAGCCAUGCCGCGUGCGGGAAGAAGGCCUUCGGGUUGUAAACCGCUUUUGUCAGGGAAGAAAUCUUCUGAGUUAAUACCUCGGGAGGAUGACGGUACCUGAAGAAUAAGCACCGGCUAACUACGUGCCAGCAGCCGCGGUAAUACGUAGGGUGCAAGCGUUAAUCGGAAUUACUGGGCGUAAAGCGUGCGCAGGCGGUUUUGUAAGACAGAGGUGAAAUCCCCAGGCUCAACCUGGGAACUGCCUUUGUGACUGCAAGGCUUGAGUGCGGCAGAGGGGGGAUGGAAUUCCGCGUGUAGCAGUGAAAUGCGUAGAUAUGCGGAGGAACACCGAUGGCGAAGGCAAUCCCCUGGGCCUGCACUGACGCUCAUGCACGAAAGCGUGGGGAGCAAACAGGAUUAGAUACCCUGGUAGUCCACGCCCUAAAACGAUGUCAACUGG